GAUGAACGCUAGCGGCAGGCUUAAUACAUGCAAGUCGAGGGGCAGCACGAAUAGCAAUAUUUGGUGGCGACCGGCGCACGGGUGCGUAACACGUAUACAACCUACCUAUAACAGGGGGAUAGCCUUUCGAAAGAGAGAUUAAUACCCCGUAAUAAAUUGAAUGGCAUCAUUUGAUUUUGAAAGCUACGGCGGUUAUAGAUGGGUAUGCGUUUGAUUAGCUAGUUGGUGAGGUAACGGCCCACCAAGGCGACGAUCAGUAGCCGGCCUGAGAGGGUGAUCGGCCACACUGGAACUGAGACACGGUCCAGACUCCUACGGGAGGCAGCAGUGGGGAAUUUUGCGCAAUGGACGAAAGUCUGACGCAGCAACGCCGCGUGGGUGAUGAAGGUCUUCGGAUUGUAAAACCCUGUCGCCAGGGACGAAGGGUGGGGCGUGAAUAGCGUUCUACUUUGACGGUACCUGGAAAGGAAGCCCCGGCUAACUCUGUGCCAGCAGCCGCGGUAAGGUAG
rnacentral:rRNA from 1 species